AAAGUAGAUUGAGGAAAAAAAUUGAAUUGACAACUCAAAUUUCCGUUCUCAAAAAAUGCGACACUUGAAUACGACAUUCACAUUGCAAAAUUUAUUAUUUUAGAUGUGGUCGCGACCAGACAUCGAAUAAAUUCUCAAAAAUCAUUUUAGUGUACAUUUUAGUGCGGUGCGUCGUAUUCAAGUGUCGGGGAGUGUAUGUAUGACACCUUGCGGCGCCUAAGCGCGACCACCAGUUUAGUCCAGAAACAACGUGCGCACAAUGGGAUGAUUUGGCUAUGGAGCUGAUUAAAAUGAAAGUGAUGAGAGCAGUACAGUGGGGUGAAAAGCUAACGUUCUUUCUGCGCUGAAUCAGAGAGACUUGAUGUGCAGAACGUUUUCCAAAAUCAGUUUUCGAAUGGCGCCAGACACAAGAAAAAACGGCGCCAAAAACUAUUUUGUUGCUCCUCCCGCGAAUGCGAAUGCGACCGGACCGCAAAAACAACAGCGGGAACGGGAACGGAUUCAAGUCAAUUCGACUGACGUAACGUACAAAAAUGUUGAGUUUGAAAUUUGUGCGCUCGGGCGCGCUGCUCCACGGCGGCAACGGUGGCAGUAGUCGGUUGUGUCGAUGUCGUAUGUUUCACGUCCAAAAGCGACUAAAACACACAGAUACGCGAGCGGCGGGGCCAUGGGCGAAAA
rnacentral:sRNA from 1 species